rnacentral:rRNA from 1 species
UAUAAACCCCUCAUUAGUACUGAAUGACUUUAUAAACAUAUAAAAAACAUUAUGCUAGAACUAGUAACAAGAAUCUAACAUUCUCCAAAAUGUAAACGUAAACCAAAAUGGACAUUCCACUGGUAAAUAACGAUAAUGAACAAAUUUCAACAACUCAAACAAGAAAAACCUGAAAAUUUCAUCGUUAACCUUACACCAGAACAUUAAAGGAAAGAUUAAAAGAGAAAGAAGGAACUCGGCAAACCUAAACCCCGCCUGUUUACCAAAAACAUCGCCUCUUGAUAAAAUAUAAGAGGUCCAGCCUGCCCAGUGACAAAAUUUAACGGCCGCGGUACCCUGACCGUGCGAAGGUAGCAUAAUCACUUGUUCUUUAAAUAGGGACUAGUAUCAACGGCAUCACGAGGGUUACACUGUCUCCUUUCUCCAAUCAGUGAAACUGAUCUUCCCGUGAAGAAGCGGGAAUACACCCAUAAGACGAGAAGACCCCAUGGAGCUUUAAAUUUCACAGCAACUCAGUCACAUAAACCCUUAUAAUUAACAGAGCUAUGCAUGCCAAUUUUAGGUUGGGGUGACCGCGGAGUAUAAGACAACCUCCACAUCGAAAAGAACUAAAUCUUUAUUUAAGAGCUACAACUCUAAAAAUUAGUAUACUAACGAAUAAUGAUCCGAUAAUCGAUCAACGGACCAAGUUACCCUGGGGAUAACAGCGCAAUCUACUUCAAGAGCCCAUAUCGACAAGUAGGCUUACGACCUCGAUGUUGGAUCAGGGUAUCCUAGUGGUGCAGCCG